UGUGUGUGUGUAUAUAUGGAU
rnacentral:miRNA from 1 species